rnacentral:rRNA from 1 species
GAGUUUGAUCCUGGCUCAGGAUGAACGCUAGCGAUAGGCUUAACACAUGCAAGUCGAGGGGUAACGCUUCGGGCGACGACCGGCGCACGGGUGAGUAACACGUAUGCAACCUGCCCAUAACAUGGGGAUAGCCUUCCGAAAGGGAGAUUAAUACCCGAUGACACAGGGAUACCGCCUGGUAAUAUUUGUUAAAGGUUUACCGGUUAUGGAUGGGCAUGCGCAGGAUUAGAUAGUUGGCAGGGUAACGGCCUACCAAGUCGGCGAUCCUUAGGGGAACUGAGAGGUUUAUCCCCCACACUGGUACUGAGACACGGACCAGACUCCUACGGGAGGCAGCAGUGAGGAAUAUUGGUCAAUGGUCGGGAGACUGAACCAGCCAAAUCGCGUGAAGGAAGAAGGUAUUAUGUAUUGUAAACUUCUUUUGGGAGGGAAUAAAGUGAGGGACGUGUCCCUUUUUGUAAGUACCUUCCGAAUAAGCAUCGGCUAACUCCGUGCCAGCAGCCGCGGUAAUACGGAGGAUGCGAGCGUUAUCCGGAUUUAUUGGGUUUAAAGGGUGCGUAGGUUGGAUUUUAAGUCAGCGGUGAAAUCACGACGCUAAACGUCGUAACUGCCGUUGAAACUGGGAUCCUUGAGUGUAAACGAGGCAGGCGGAAUUCGUAGUGUAGCGGUGAAAUGCAUAGAUAUUACGAAGAACCCCGAUAGCGCAGGCAGCUUGCCAGGCUACAACUGACACUGAAGCACGAAAGUGUGGGUAUCAAACAGGAUUAGAUACCCUGGUAGUCCACACAGUAAACGAUGAUUACUCGCUGUUUGCGAUACACAGUAAGCGGCCAAGCGAAAGCGUUAAGUAAUCCACCUGGGGAGUACGCCGGCAACGGUGAAACUCAAAGGAAUUGACGGGGGCCCGCACAAGCGGAGGAACAUGUGGUUUAAUUCGAUGAUACGCGAGGAACCUUACCCGGGCCCGAACGGCAGUGGAAUAUUUGUGAAAGCAGGUAGCCAGCAAUGGUCGCU